AGCUAUACCAUCUUGUCCAACGGAAGUCACCCAUCACUGAAGCCCGAAAGGCACAAUGCCUUUCAGCUUUCAGAAGCUACGAAGCAAGGUCUGACUUGUCCAGUACUCCACCUACCUGAAGAUCUGUAAAGACAGUUGCAGCCAGCCUCUUCAACAGGGUGAGUCUAGUGGCUGUGAAAUAAUACAGAAUUCCAUGUGGCUGCUUCCUUAUCCUCAAGUUGAAAUCCCAGAGAUUGCCAGCAUUCUUGGAAAAUCCAUGCAAUCGUAGCCUAGAUUCAAUCCUGGGCCACCAGAGUAGCAAGUAAAGCUAAACUGCUCUGGCGUCAAUCUGUGCAUCUUACCAAUUUACAUAAUCAGGAUGACAAUAAAUGAGAAGUGCAUCCCAAAAAAUAAUUUUUCAUUAAAUCAUGAUUAAGUAACAUUAUAUAUUAGCUCUGAAUGUUUAGAGUUCUUGGACUUUUUACCUUAUUGAUAAAGAAUCUAGCAGAAGAAAAAUGCUUAUUUUUACUAUCUAUCAGAAUUGAUGGAAAAAGGCAAUGUAACAUAUGGGCAAUCUACCAAGGAGGAGUAUCUUCUAGGACGACUUUCUUCUAGGAGGAUCAUCUAGGAGGACCCAGGAUUGAAUCUGGGCAUUAAAAACCUCAAGAAUAUUUUUGGAUGUAAUCCAUUUCCGAUAUGUCAGCUCCCAUCCCUUGCCUCUUAGCCACCCCACUGUAGGCAUGGCCAAACUUUUAGCCAGAUGGCUGAGCAGUCAAGGUGGCAGCCUACUGCUCUGGGGGACCUGGGAUUGAAUCCAGAUGGGUCAAAAAAUCUCCAGGAAUUUUUGGGGGAUGGUCCAACCAGAUAUGUCAGCCCAUCCCUCACUACCAGCUGCCUCAUUGUGGGCCUGGCUGAAUCCAUAAUGGGUUUGCUAGAAAAGGCCCUCUUAGAGUUAAAAAAAGUUAAAAAAGAGUUAAAAAAGUUAAAAAAAAGAGUUAAAAAAAAUGGCCAAAACAAUGAUAGAUAUGAGUAAAAAGUUUUCUUAGUGUAUACAGGGAUGAAAGAUAAAAAGAAUAUUCAGAAUAGCAUUUGAUUAUAAAGUAAUAUUUAUAGUUAUAAGUCUGUUAAUCUAAUCAUACAGACUAAAUGAUAAUACAACUAAUGUAUCUCUAUUUUUAUUUCUAAAUUAAUUGAUUUUAAGCAAAUUUGCAAAAAUUAAUUAAUAAGGCAUUAUUCAAUAAGAACAAAUUUUCUCAGAUAUACUUGUUUAGUCAUUAGUUUCUGUAACUGCUAUGAAAAUCUAAAUAUAUAAAAUUACUUGUCCUGACUGACUGAUUGAUUCAUCAUCGCCCAGAGCAAACCGCUGAACCUAAAGAGGUGAAUUUUGUACACA